rnacentral:rRNA from 1 species
UGCAAGUCGAGCGGUAGAGAGAAGCUUGCUUCUCUUGAGAGCGGCGGACGGGUGAGUAAUGCCUAGGAAUCUGCCUGGUAGUGGGGGAUAACGUUCGGAAACGGACGCUAAUACCGCAUACGUCCUACGGGAGAAAGCAGGGGACCUUCGGGCCUUGCGCUAUCAGAUGAGCCUAGGUCGGAUUAGCUAGUUGGUGGGGUAAUGGCUCACCAAGGCGACGAUCCGUAACUGGUCUGAGAGGAUGAUCAGUCACACUGGAACUGAGACACGGUCCAGACUCCUACGGGAGGCAGCAGUGGGGAAUAUUGGACAAUGGGCGAAAGCCUGAUCCAGCCAUGCCGCGUGUGUGAAGAAGGUCUUCGGAUUGUAAAGCACUUUAAGUUGGGAGGAAGGGUUGUAGAUUAAUACUCUGCAAUUUUGACGUUACCGACAGAAUAAGCACCGGCUAACUCUGUGCCAGCAGCCGCGGUAAUACAGAGGGUGCAAGCGUUAAUCGGAAUUACUGGGCGUAAAGCGCGCGUAGGUGGUUUGUUAAGUUGGAUGUGAAAUCCCCGGGCUCAACCUGGGAACUGCAUUCAAAACUGACUGACUAGAGUAUGGUAGAGGGUGGUGGAAUUUCCUGUGUAGCGGUGAAAUGCGUAGAUAUAGGAAGGAACACCAGUGGCGAAGGCGACCACCUGGACUAAUACUGACACUGAGGUGCGAAAGCGUGGGGAGCAAACAG